rnacentral:rRNA from 1 species
AACGAACGCUGGCGGCAUGCCUAACACAUGCAAGUCGAACGACAGCUCCGGGUCUAGUUGCGCUCGGGUGCGUCACGCGUGGGAAGCGUCACGUAGGUUCGGAAUAACUCUUCGACAGGGGUGCUAAUACCGGAUAACGUCUUCGGACCAAAGAUUUAUCGUCUUGGGAUGGGCCCGCGUUGGAUUAGCUAGUUGGUAGGGUAAGAGCCUAUCAAGGCGACGAUCCAUAGCUGGUCUGAGAGGAUGACCCGCCACACUGGGACUGGGACGCGGCCCAGACUCCUACGGGAGGCAGGAGUGGGGGAUAUAGCCAAAUGGGCGGAGGCCUGAUCGAGCAAUGCCUGGUGAGUGAUGAAGGCCUUAGGGUUGUAAAGCAGUUUUACCCGCGAUGAUAAUGACAGUACCGGGAGAAUAAGCUCCGGCUAACUCCGUG